rnacentral:rRNA from 1 species
UACGUAGGGUGCAAGCGUUAAUCGGAAUUACUGGGCGUAAAGCGUGCGCAGGCGGUUUUGUAAGUCUGUCGUGAAAUCCCCGGGCUUAACCUGGGAACUGCAUUUGUGACUGCACGGCUAGAGUGUGUCAGAGGGGGGGUAGAAUUCCACGUGUAGCAGUGAAAUGCGUAGAUAUGUGGAGGAAUACCGAUGGCGAAGGCAGCCCCCUGGGAUGACACUGACGCUCAUGCACGAAAGCGUGGGGAGCAAACAGG